rnacentral:lncRNA from 10 species
GAAAAGGCAAGUUUAACCACGUUGCUCUAAAGCACUAGCCCCUUUCAGGUUUCGGACACGUGGCCUCUCUGGCUGAAUGGACAGAAAGUCUGAAUGUGCGACUUCUUGGCAGAUACUGCAUCUUCAGCCAGGAGAAGUUGGCUUAGUACAAAAGGGCUUUUGAAGCGGAAACUACAAGAAGAUGCAUCUGUCUUAACAAAAAAUAAUAAACCAAGAAAAUAAAAGAUAUGGGAUCCUAGAAAUAAAAGGUGCAACACAAGAGAGAGAUAAAGAAAAACAUUGACAGCCUCUCUAUGAAGAAAGACCCAAAGUAACAACUUUGCAACAGCUCUAGGGAAUAAUUUGUUCAGAUAAGAGUAACUCAGGAGACUCCAAGAGCGAUUUUCGAGAAGAUUAAAUCUAUAGAAUACCUAAUAUGUUUGCACUUGUAAAGAAGAGUUUUAUACUACUUGGAGAGAAUUUAGCAGUUCAUCUAUCAGUAUCAUUUGCAUAGAUAUAAUGUUCGCUAAAUAUUUCUAUAGCCUAAGGAAGAUGGUGAAUGAGAAGUGUGCUUAUGUGUGGCAAGGAAGAAGGGGAUUUACCAAGUGGGAAGUCCAUGGUCAAAUGCUUAAGACUUAGUAAGGCAUUUACCAAGUGGGAAGUCAAUGGGCAAAUGCUUAAGACGUAGUAAUCAGAAUGCAAAUACAUAAGUACAUGUAGAGGCAAAACAUAGCAUUGUAGUUAUGUGCGCAGAUGCUGGAGUGAGACUCUCUGGG